rnacentral:lncRNA from 1 species
CUACAGGCUCCAGAGGCCCUGAGCGCGCCCCCUACGAGGCUUGUUCUCUGGCGUCUCUGAUUGGCCAGCUCCCUUCGCGCAGACUAGCGUCCUUUCGGCUGCUGGGGCGAGAUCACUGGGAAAGGAGCUGAUGCUGGUGGAAUCUUCAGGUGAUGAAGAUGGAGACUCCAGGUCUGAGUCGGCUGGAAAUAAAAAGAGACUCCCUGCAUUAGAGACCAUCCACAGGGCAUCCUUGGAAGCUGUGACCUGAAGGUGGACAAGCCACAGGAUGGAAGGAGCUGCAUCUCUAAGUCACCAGUGAAGAACAGUCACCCUCAAUGGGUUUGGAGAGAAGUCUUCUCUGAUAUCCACUUUUAAGUCCCGAUUAUAAUCCACUCGUUUCAUUCUCGCAGCACUCAGUGUGGUUUAGGGGAAAUUCUAGAUUCUCAUAUCUUGGUCAUGGAUGAUAAGGAAAGGGCCUUUCCAUAUAUGUGAGGCAAAGCAGAGCAGGGUGAGGGGGUAAGGCUCCUCAGGGUAAGGAAGGCCCUGCAGAAGAAUGGAGUGGUGUUGCGGAGGCAGGUAGCCGAGGGAGGGGAGCAGUGCCAUCAGGAUGGGUCCUCAGGGUCUGUCAGCAUCCACCAGAAUCUGGCAGAGCUAUUUAGAGAAACUGAUAGAAAGCUGUACCUACUGCAGUCACAAAGGAUCAGGCUCAGAAUCACGGAUAAACUGAGGAUUAAUGUCUCCAUUUAUUGAUAAGGAAAUUAAGUUUUAUGGAGAUUAGAAUGUUUGUACGUAAUACAGUGCUUAGUUCAUAGUAGAUGCACAAUAAAUAUUUGUUGAAUGAAGGGCCUAAGACUUUUAAUGCUUAUGCCUUCUAUAAGGGAUUGAGAAUUUACCCAUUCCGUGGUAUAUAGAGGGGUAUGGUACUGGUGCCCAGGACAGACACAUUGUGGUUGGGUGCAAUGUUUUAAAAAGUUUGAAUGUUAGUGUGCUUUCUGGUAUUCCCUAGGCCCUACCACUCCCUGUUGCCUUAUCACUCACCCAGUUCACACGAUGAUGUCAUCCGUCUGUCCCCCUGAGCUUCAGUUGUGUGGAAUUCCUUCCUACACUCUCCUGUUCACAAGUCACCUUUUAAAUAGAGCUUAUCCCUAACUCUGUUGUUUUGCCCUCUCCCUUCUCCUUCCUGCCAUUGCCUUCCCAUCCUCUCCCUCCUAUUAUCUAUCCACAUAUGUCCUCUCUAUUUUUUCUCAAGUUUUUUAACCUUGUCAGUGUCGCAAUCCAAUGUACACAUCAGGAUAGAUGCGGAGAGGGCUGAUGGCCACUCUGAGUUUAUUAUAACCAGCGUUUCAAUAUAUACAUAGCUUACAGCUGUUAAACAUACACAGGUGUUCUGGAUGAAGUAAUUAGUGAAUGCCAAGAAUUCUUCGUGAUUUCUCAAGGAGCCCUCCCUUGGCCUCUGUUUUGAUAUUAUCAUGUUAUUGCUGUGCUCCUAUACUUUUAUCUCGGAGCAGGCAAGGCCUCUUAGGCAAUGGUCCCUCCUGCUCCCGAUAUCGAUAUCGUUUCUCCAUCUGUGCCCCUGGGCGGCCGCCGCCUGGCUUAGGUUGCCCCCCCAGGGGUCUUACCAGUCAUUGGCUAACCGGCCUUCUCACCUCCGGGUCACAGUUUGUUGGCAAGCUUUUUCCAGUGAUUAUUAACCCUUCCUAUGUCAGGGGCGGCUACAAACCUUAUAAGCAUAAAUUCUUAGGCAGCUAUGCCUAAUAUGAUGAACUAGGAAACCUAAGCCAAGAACAGAGUUGUAUUCAGAUAUACCUUCUACAAGUUUCUAUUAUACAUAUUUAAAGAUACAUAAAUAUUAUUGUAUUGUGUAGUUAUUAGGCAGUUAGCAGUGCUUAUAAAUUAUAUUUAAUGUAACCUUUAUAAACAUUCCCAUUUUAUAGUUAUUCAGUUUUUACUAGCUGCUAACUACCUGGGCAUCUUGCAUGAGUCAUUUUAUUGUAUUGUUUUCUUAUCUACUGAACAAGGGGUUUAGAAGGCAUUGUCUUUAAGGAAAUUUACAGGUACAUAUGUAAGGCCCUGUGACUGUGUGAUUACUACCUGGACUGAUAAAACCUAAAGCAAGGGAAGUGGGGAGAAUGGUGUAGUGCAGAGGGGAAGCUGCCUGUUGCUAACUGCACAAAGUUCUCCUAGAAACCUCCUCUGUAAAAGGAGCUUAAGAACCUACAUCCCCAGGAGACCUCUGGGACCAGUUUUUCUGGAUCCCCUGAGACCAGAUAAUUGGAUAAAGCUGUACAUUCUCAUCCUGAUCCUUUCUGGUCACAGUCCAAAAUGUCCCUUUGUGGUCACAGUCCUCUCCACAGUCUGCUCAGUGCCACCUCCUCUGGCACCCCAGGUGCUGAGGAUCAUCCCCUUUGCCGUACACGCGUCCAUGUUACCUGUGGGGACUGUGUGGUGUGGGAAGGAAACUCCCUCCGCCUGCACCUCCUGUGUGCCCCAGGCCUUCAUGGAAUCCCAGGUCUCUCCAGAGAGUUGCUUUUUUGGGUGGUCUCUCCUGGAAUUCCUGCUGGGUUUUUAUAGUCAUUCCUCUCCCCAUUCCCCACAGACCUCCUCCCCCUCUUCCUUUCUGUUUUGCCACCAUACCAGAUGUUACUUUUACCACAGGGCCUUUUCCCUGUUUACAGAGAAAACCAAAGCCAUCAGGAGGAACUCCACCAACAUGGAAUCCAACGUAUUGAUUGUUACGUCUUGCGGAAAUAUGGGAGACAGCAAGUGUUCUUCCCCUUGGCAGCAAGAGUUGAAUCCAUUAACAGUACUCAGCUCCAAUCUGUAAACCUGUGCUCCUAAAGUCUGCCUGAUGGUGCCUCUACAGACUUACCAACACCAGUGGUCCAGCAUCUGCUCCUCAGAGGUUUGGGUCCUAGUUCUGGAAGUCUUUUCAAAGAAUCUUCUCUUUGUUCUCUCAACCCUAGAGGUGGUAGCUGCUUCCCACUGUUACUAUCUUUGUGAUACUUCAGGCCCCCUUUUGCCUUUUUUGUCCUUUAUAACUGAUUAACAACCAUUUACAUAAAAUUCUUUAUGGUGAAUUUCAGCAGACCGACACACCCUUAGACCUACCUGUGCCAUGUAUAUUGGACAUCUCAGGGUCUGUCACAGGCCAUCUACUCUUUUCGCUCUAUAGGAAAUCACAUUCAACAUAUGAUCUGACACCAUCCCUGCUCUCCAUAUCAGCUGCUCUUUCAGUGUUCCCAUUCUUCAUGAAGGAAUGUUCCGAUCACCUGCUUGCUCCAGUUAAAACCAUGGUAUUAUCCUUGACUGUGCCACCCUUCUCAUCCUCACAUCUAAGCUGUUGAUUCUACCUCCUAAUGAUCUCUUAAACCCAUCUAUUUCUAACUUCACUGCUACCCUCCUGCUCUAAUCAUAUAUCAUCUUUCCUGGCAUCACUGUGACUUUUUCUUGCCUCCAGUUCUGCCUCACUCAACCCAUUCACUCCACAGCUAAAUUGUGGAUGUGUGCUUCUGAACUAUCAAUGAAUGUAGCCAAAGAAACGUGUAAUAUAGAUCAAUGAUCCCAACACUAAGAAAACAAUGUUGAUCAAUAAAUAAUUGGUGAAUAAUGAAUGACAACAUAUAGCAAAGUAUUCAACAGGUUUUAUAAGCUGUGGGUUCAGUAAAUGUUUAUGAAACUUGUUCAGGGCCUUGAAAGAUGUGCAGUUCUUUGGAUUUUAAAGAAAAGGAGAGAAGAGAUUUCAGAUGAGAACAAAAAUACGUGACAUCAAACAAUAUUUGUGAUUGUUUUUUGGGGUGGGGGGCGUGUUACGGUGUGAAAGCUCCCAGCCUGGAUGGUUUUCAGAUUCAAGUGCUGAGGCCAGCGUGCAGCU